AAACUUCGGGAGAAGGUGCGCCCUUUGGUGUGGUCACGUGCGUGACUGAGCAUCGAAGGGUCGCAGUAACCUGGCCGCUGCGACUGUUUAUCAAAAACACAGCACUCUGCAAACACGAAAGUGGACGUAUAGGGUGUGACGCCUGCCCGGUGCUGGAAGGUUAAUUGAUGGGGUCAGCCGCAAGGCGAAGCUCUUGAUCGAAGCCCCAGUAAACGGCGGCCGUAACUAUAACGGUCCUAAGGUAGCGAAAUUCCUUGUCGGGUAAGUUCCGACCUGCACGAAUGGCGUAACGACAGCGGCGCUGUCUCCACCCGAGACUCAGUGAAAUUGAAAUCGCUGUGAAGAUGCAGCGUUCCCGCGGCAAGACGGAAAGACCCCGUGAACCUUUACUAUAGCUUUACACUGAACGUUGAGUUCUUCUGUGUAGGAUAGGUGGGAGGCUAUGAAACCAGGACGCUAGUUCUGGUGGAGCCAUCCUUGAAAUACCACCCUGAAGUGCUUGACGUUCUAACCUAGGCCCGUAAUCCGGGUCAGGGACCGUGUAUGGUGGGUAGUUUGACUGGGGCGGUCUCCUCCCAAAGAGUAACGGAGGAGCACGAAGGUACGCUCAGCGCGGUCGGACAUCGCGCACUGUGUGCAAAGGCAUAAGCGUGCUUGACUGCGAGAUCGACGGAUCAAGCAGGUACGAAAGUAGGUCUUAGUGAUCCGGUGGUUCUGUAUGGAAGGGCCAUCGCUCAACGGAUAAAAGGUACCCCGGGGAUAACAGGCUGAUACCGCCCAAGAGUUCAUAUCGACGGCGGUGUUUGGCACCUCGAUGUCGGCUCAUCACAUCCUGGGGCUGUAGCCGGUCCCAAGGGUAUGGCUGUUCGCCAUUUAAAGUGGUACGCGAGCUGGGUUCAGAACGUCGUGAGACAGUUCGGUCCCUAUCUGUCGUGGGCGUUGGAGAUUUGAGGGGGGCUGCUCCUAGUACGAGAGGACCGGAGUGGACGUUCCGCUGGUGUUCGGGUUGUCAUGCCCAUGGCAUUGCCCGGUAGCUACGAACGGAAGUGAUAACCGCUGAAAGCAUCUAAGCGGGAAGCACGCCCCAAGAUGAGAUCUCCCGAGAGCUUGACUCUCCUAAAGGCACCAUCAAGACUAGGUGGUUGAUAGGUCAGGUGUGGAAGCGCAGCAAUGCGUUGAGCUAACUGAUACUAAUGAGCCGUGAGGCUUGACC
rnacentral:rRNA from 1 species